rnacentral:lncRNA from 10 species
CGUUGCUUGUGUUUAUACUUGCUGCCCUCCCCUGGAAGGCCAAUUCUUCCUUGUUCCUCCUUCCGGAGGUCAGUGCUCAAUCCUGAUUGGAGUAGACAUCCGAGUCCAUUUCCAUGAGCUGCGUGUUCUGUUUCUCUUUCUCUUUCCCCAUUAAGUGAUGCCCAGGAGUGCUUUCUGUGUCCUCUGUGUAACCCCUGUUGGCUUGCACUGAGUUCUUCAUGCAUCUGGGUGAAUAGCAGGAGUCUUGCUGCCCACCUUCCCAGGAAGAGGCUUCCAUUCUCCUCUCAUCCCCCCAUGACAGGCUUUUCCUGCCCAAGGAGGGGUUUAGACUGUGAUUCAGAAAGUCUCCUGCAUGCCACCAUGUACAAAGGCAGGCUCAGAGUGGAGAAGAUUCUUGUCUGAAGUCACCAAGUGCGUAAGCGGCAAUCACAGAACCAGAAACCAGGACUCCUCCUGCUCAUCAUGCCACCUUGCAGCUUCCUGGAGCUCCAGAUGCCUGGGUGAGAGAGAGAUACUUAUUCUUAAUCCAUUCAUGUUGUCUUCAGUACGUGGACCCAGGG